UACGUAGGUGGCAAGCGUUGUCCGGAUUUAUUGGGUUUAAAGGGUGCGUAGGCGUCCCUGUAAGUCAGUGGUGAAAUACUCUAGCUUAACUAGAGGGGUGCCAUUGAUACUGCAGGGCUUGAGUACAGACGAGGUAGGCGGAAUUGACGGUGUAGCGGUGAAAUGCAUAGAUACCACCAAGAACCCCGAUUGCGUAGGCAGCUCGCUGAGCCGAAACUGACGCUGAGGCACGAAAGCGUGGGGAGCGAACAGG
rnacentral:rRNA from 1 species